CGACGGUAUCCGUUUACUUAUCGAAAUGAUAAACUGCGAUCUAUAACUUACAAUUGUUAUAAACCUUUGCAUGACAGAUUUGUAUUUAACAGGACGGUAACUUACAUAACACACUACAAUGCGACUUCUGCAGCUGGCGAUCGUGUAUUUGAGUGCCAAAGUGACGAGUCUUGUUGUCUGGACAGGAUCAACACACCAAAUAACAUCUUCCA